GACGAACGCUGGCGGCGUGCUUAACACAUGCAAGUCGAACGGUGACGAGGAGCUUGCUCCUCCGAUCAGUGGCGAACGGGUGAGUAACACGUGAGUAUCCUGCCCAGACUCUGGAAUAACAGUUGGAAACAGCUGCUAAUACCGGAUACGAGACGGAGAGGCAUCUCUACCGUCUGGAAAGUUUUUCGGUCUGGGAUGGACUCGCGGCCUAUCAGCUUGUUGGUGAGGUAAUGGCUCACCAAGGCGACGACGGGUAGCCGGCCUGAGAGGGCGACCGGCCACACUGGGACUGAGACACGGCCCAGACUCCUACGGGAGGCAGCAGUGGGGAAUAUUGCACAAUGGGCGAAAGCCUGAUGCAGCAACGCCGCGUGAGGGAUGACGGCCUCGG
rnacentral:rRNA from 1 species